rnacentral:snRNA from 1 species
GGCCGACCUAACCUUGAGCUGGCC